rnacentral:tRNA from 1 species
GGGGGUACAGCUCAGUGGGAGAGUGCGGGCUUGGUGUGCACGAAGUCCUGGGUUCAAUCCCCAGUGCUUCUG